GAGACAGCAGUAGCCGCGGGAAUACGGAGGAUCCGAGCGUUAUCCGGAAUUAUUGGGUUUAAAGGGUGCGUAGGCGGACAGAUAAGUCAGUGGUGAAAGACGGUGGCUCAACCAUCGCAGUGCCGUCGAUACUGUUUGUCUUGAAUAUGGAUGAGGUAGGCGGAAUGUGGCAAGUAGCGGUGAAAUGCAUAGAUAUGCCACAGAACACCGAUUGCGAAGGCAGCUUACCAAGGCAAUAUUGACGCUGAGGCACGAAAGCGUGGGGAUCGAACAGGAUUAGAUACCCCAGUAGUCCCUGUCUCUUAUAC
rnacentral:rRNA from 1 species